UCGGGGGAUUCUGGCCAGCUGAAGAAAGACGACUUUGUUCGAAUCAUGUUAUCUUCAAAACUAUUCAUUCCAACAUUCGACAAGAACGGAGAUGGGAUCGUUACAGAGUCUGAAAUGUGUUCUAAGGCUGAGUUAGCGUUUAAAGCUUUAGAUACAGACCACUCGGGCUUUCUAACUAGUAAGGAAUUAAAACUACUGAGCACAAAAUUAUCCAGUUCAGAGAGAGAGGGGCUUUUAAAGAAG